rnacentral:rRNA from 1 species
AGAGUUUGAUUAUGGCUCAGGGUGAACGCUGGCGGCGUGCUUGACACAUGCAAGUCGAACGGUAUGUGGCAACACAUAGAGUGGCGAACGGGUGAGUAACACGUGGGAACGUACCUUCUGCAGGGGGAUAACUGACCGAAAGGACAGCUAAUACCGCAUAAGACCGAGAGGAGAAAGGUGCAACAGCAUCGGCAGAGGAGCGGCCCGCGGACCAUCAGCUAGUUGGUGGGGUAAGAGCCUACCAAGGCAACGACGGAUAGCCGGCGUGAGAGCGUGGCCGGCCACAAGGACACUGAGAUACGGGUCCUACUCCUACGGGAGGCAGCAGUGCGGAAUUUUAGAUAAUGGAGGCAACUCUGAUCUAGCGACGCCGCGUGCAGGAAGAAGGUCUUCGGAUUGUAAACUGCUGUGGUAAGGGAAAAAUGCCAUGUAGAGUGGAAAGCUACAUGGAGGGAUGGUACUUUACUAGAAAGCCCCGGCUAACUACGUGCCAGCAGCCGCGGUAAUACGUAGGGGGCGAGCGUUACCCGGAAUCACUGGGCGUAAAGGGAGCGUAGGUGGCCUGACAUGUCGACUGUGAAAACCCGGAGCUCAACUCCGGACUUGCAGUUGAAACUGCCAGGCUUGAGGACGGUAGAGGAAGACGGAACUGCCAGUGUAGGGGUAAAAUCCUUAGAUAUUGGCAGGAACGCCGGUGACGAAAGUGGUUUUCUGGGCCGGUUCUGACACUGAUGCUCGAAAGCCAGGGGAGCGAACGGGAUUAGAUACCCUGGUAGUC